rnacentral:lncRNA from 1 species
GGUCACAUUGGGUUAGCUUAGGAGUCUUUUUUAUGGUUUAAGUUAUAUUUUCUAGGUACCCAGGCGGAGUACCAUCAAAUACCUUCUGUUUUUUAGUAUUCAUUGGCCAGCUGGCAAAUAGGGUUCGCUCAAAAUAAUUUUGUGUCAGUUUCAGUUAGCUGUAGCCUGAUAGCUACAGCCUAGGUGUUCGAGUUUCCCAGCUAAGCUAAUACUACUUCUAUUUACAAGGGUCCAAACGCUUCGAGCAAGUGGCAGUUAUAGAAUAAAUUUUAGCUUGUCUGUAGACAAGCCAGCCGAUUCCAUGAAUUUUAAAACAUUCUCCUCAUUUUGCUCCAUGGCAGAUAGUCGAUGGCUGAUAUGUCGACAAGAGCACGCAGAAGAACUAUA